AACGCAUAUUGCGCCCCCCGGCACUCCGGGGGGCAUGCCUGUCCGAGCGUCAUUUCACCCGAUCAAGCCCGGCUUGUCUGUUGGACGGCCGUCUCCAGGUGCCCGCGGGCGCCCGCCGCCGUGCGGGUCGCCCGAGUCCGGGCGACGGAGACGGGUUCGAAAUGCAGUGGCGGCGUCCCGCGAUCGGUCGCCGGAGCGAAUGGGCUUACUCGGCCGCUCCACGGCCCGACCGGCCGCCGCCGCCCCGGAUGGGGCGAAGGAAAUCGAAAGGUUGACCUCGGAUCAGGCAGGGUUACCCGCUGAACUUAA
rnacentral:misc_RNA from 1 species